rnacentral:rRNA from 1 species
UACAGAGGGGGCAAGCGUUGUUCGGAAUUACUGGGCGUAAAGGGCGCGUAGGCGGCCUUCUAAGUCAGACGUGAAAUCCCCGGGCUCAACCCGGGAACUGCGUCUGAUACUGGAUGGCUUGAAUCCGGGAGAGGGAUGUGGAAUUCCAGGUGUAGCGGUGAAAUGCGUAGAUAUCUGGAGGAACACCGGUGGCGAAGGCGGCAUCCUGGACCGGUAUUGACGCUGAGGCGCGAAAGCCAGGGGAGCAGACGGG